rnacentral:rRNA from 1 species
GAUGAACGCUGGCGGCGUGCCUAAUACAUGCAAGUCGAGCGAACGGACGAGAAGCUUGCUUCUCUGAUGUUAGCGGCGGACGGGUGAGUAACACGUGGAUAACCUACCUAUAAGACUGGGAUAACUUCGGGAAACCGGAGCUAAUACCGGAUAAUAUUUUGAACCGCAUGGUUCAAAAGUGAAAGACGGUCUUGCUGUCACUUAUAGAUGGAUCCGCGCUGCAUUAGCUAGUUGGUAAGGUAACGGCUUACCAAGGCAACGAUGCAUAGCCGACCUGAGAGGGUGAUCGGCCACACUGGAACUGAGACACGGUCCAGACUCCUACGGGAGGCAGCAGUAGGGAAUCUUCCGCAAUGGGCGAAAGCCUGACGGAGCAACGCCGCGCGAGUGAUGAAGGUCUUCGGAUCGUAAAACUCUGUUAUUAGGGAAGAACAUAUGUGUAAGUAACUGUGCACAUCUUGACGGUACCUAAUCAGAAAGCCACGGCUAACUACGUGCCAGCAGCCGCGGUAAUACGUAGGUGGCAAGCGUUAUCCGGAAUUAUUGGGCGUNAAGCGCGCGUAGGCGGUUUUUUAAGUCUGAUGUGAAAGCCCACGGCUCAACCGUGGAGGGUCAUUGGAAACUGGAAAACUUGAGUGCAGAAGAGGAAAGUGGAAUUCCAUGUGUAGCGGUGAAAUGCGCAGAGAUAUGGAGGAACACCAGUGGCGAAGGCGACUUUCUGGUCUGUAACUGACGCUGAUGUGCGAAAGCGUGGGGAUCAAACAGGAUUGGAUACCCUGGUAGUCCACGCCGUAAACGAUGAGUGCUAAGUGUUAGGGGGUUUCCGCCCCUUAGUGCUGCAGCUAACGCAUUAAGCACUCCGCCUGGGGAGUACGACCGCAAGGUUGAAACUCAAAGGAAUUGACGGGGACCCGCACAAGCGGUGGAGCAUGUGGUUUAAUUCGAAGCAACGCGAAGAACCUUACCAAAUCUUGACAUCCUUUGACAACUCUAGAGAUAGAGCUUUCCCCUUCGGGGGACAAAGUGACAGGUGGUGCAUGGUUGUCGUCAGCUCGUGUCGUGAGAUGUUGGGUUAAGUCCCGCAACGAGCGCAACCCUUAAGCUUAGUUGCCAUCAUUAAGUUGGGCACUCUAAGUUGACUGCCGGUGACAAACCGGAGGAAGGUGGGGAUGACGUCAAAUCAUCAUGCCCCUUAUGAUUUGGGCUACACACGUGCUACAAUGGACAAUACAAAGGGCAGCGAAACCGCGAGGUCAAGCAAAUCCCAUAAAGUUGUUCUCAGUUCGGAUUGUAGUCUGCAACUCGACUACAUGAAGCUGGAAUCGCUAGUAAUCGUAGAUCAGCAUGCUACGGUGAAUACGUUCCCGGGUCU